rnacentral:rRNA from 1 species
CCGCGCGAAGGUAGCGUAAUCACUUGUUUUUUAAAUAAAGACUAGUAUGAAUGGCCCCACGAGGACUUAACUGUCUCCCUUGUCCAAUCAGUGAAACUGAUCUCCUCGUGCAGAAGCGAGGAUACUCUCAUAAGACGAGAAGACCCUAUGGAGCUUUAAACUGAAAUCAACUACUAUUCACCUACCCUCUAAGGACCUAAUAAAUAACUAAGUAUACUUGAUUUAAGUUUUAGGUUGGGGCGACCAUGGAGAAAAAGAAAUCCUCCCUGAUGACCAUAAACUAAGAGCCACAACUCUAAGUAUUAAGACACUUAACCCUAAUUGACCCAUUUUAUGAUCAACGAACCAAGUUACCCUAGGGAUAACAGCGCAAUCCAUUUCAAGAGUCCCUAUCGACAAAUGGGUU